GAUGAACGCUGGCGGCGUGCCUAAUACAUGCAAGUCAAGCGAACAGACGAGGAGCUUGCUCCUCUGACGUUAGCGGCGGACGGGUGAGUAACACGUGGAUAACCUACCUAUAAGACUGGGAUAACUUCGGGAAACCGGAGCUAAUACCGGAUAAUAUAUUGAACCGCAUGGUUCAAUAGUGAAAGACGGUUUUGCUGUCACUUAUAGAUGGAUCCGCGCCGCAUUAGCUAGUUGGUAAGGUAACGGCUUACCAAGGCAACGAUGCGUAGCCGACCUGAGAGGGUGAUCGGCCACACUGGAACUGAGACACGGUCCAGACUCCUACGGGAGGCAGCAGUAGGGAAUCUUCCGCAAUGGGCGAAAGCCUGACGGAGCAACGCCGCGUGAGUGAUGAAGGUCUUCGGAUCGUAAAACUCUGUUAUUAGGGAAGAACAAAUGUGUAAGUAACUAUGCACGUCUUGACAGUACCUAAUCAGAAAGCCACGGCUAACUACGUG
rnacentral:rRNA from 1 species